GAUUUCUGGCCUGAAACAUUUUGCCGGCCACGGUUUCGUGUGUUAGUGCUUGAUGUUCUGGCCAUCCUUCCAAUCGCUAUUUACCUUUCUUCAUUGAUGGGUAAGUGGUAUUGGAUCUUUUACUUUGAAAAAAUUAGAGUGUUUCAAGCAGGCUUUAUGCUAUGAAUACAUUAGCAUGGAAUAAUAAUUUAGGACUUCGGUUCUAUUUUGUUGGUUUCUAGGACUGAAGUAAUGAUUGAUAGGGAUAGUUGGGGGUGCUAGUAUUCAGCGGCCAGAGGUGAAAUUCUCGGAUUCGCUGAAGACUAACUUAUGCGAAAGCAUU
rnacentral:rRNA from 1 species